AAUAAAUAAAUAAAGCCUAUCUUCCGGCCAGAAUAUAAACUCCAUGGAUGGCAUUUGUCUCAGUUAACACUCUUUCUCUAAUAGCUCCUGAAUUGCCUGCUAGAAUCGCCUAUAGGAAGACAUGACAUUAUGGGGAAUGCGUUAAGUAGCUCCCAACAUGGUCAUGUGCUCACACUAGGACUAAGAUACUGUUAUUAAAUAAAUCAUGGAAAAAUGAACUUAGAAAGGGAUAUGAAGGAUUAGCCAGUAAGUCUCUAUAAAACAUAAGGGAAUUAUAUCCAUAUUACCUUGUAUAUAAAAUGCCUUAUUUUUCAGCAUUCUUUUUUUUGUUGUUUUUUUGAGACAGGAUCUCUUACUCUAUGGCCCAGGCUGGAUUGCAGUGGCAUGAUCUUGGCUCGCUGCAGUCUCAACCUCCUGGGCUCAAGCAGUCCUCCCACUACAGCCUCCCGAGUAGCUGGGACUACGGGUGUGCAUCACCAUGCCAGGCUAAUUUUUGUAUUUUUCGUAGAGGGGGUUUCCACCAUGUCACCCAGGCUGGUCUCGAACUCCUGAGCUCAAGCAAUCUGCCUGCCUUGGCCUCUCAAAUUGCUGAGAUUUCACACGCAUGAGCCCAGCCAUUUUUCAGCACAUUCUUUAGGCAAUUUCCUUUCAGCAUUUUAGAGUAGUAAGUACUCUAAGUAGAAUUUACCAAGUUCUUGGUCUUCAUAAAUUGACAACCUCUUAUUUUGUAGGUUAUAGUGCCAUCAUGUGGAUACUUUGUUUUCUUCAAAUAAAAUGUAACCUUUUUAUAACAGAGACUAGAAAACCCAGCCAUCCCAACACCCAGGUAGACAUGAUCGCCAAGGCAGCUGAUUGUCCCAAGGAAUAAGUAUGAGCAAUGAGCACAGAGGGAAAAUCAUGAAACAUCUGAGGACCAUGAGAACUGCUAAAACAAUACGUAGAACUAGCUAUACCAGAGAAAGUCAAGUGAAUGGAUCAGACAAUAAGAAUUGAAAAUAAGCUUAAUAGAGCUUCAGAGAAAGAAGGGAGAAUGUUGGAAACACAAAGCACAAACAAGCAUUUGUGAAUUGGAUGUUGACAAAUAUUAAUGAAAUAACUCAAUGGAUGGGUUGAAUAUAGCUGGACAGUUCACUCAUGAACCGGAAGAUUAGAGCAAGGAAGGAACUAAGAAAUGGAAAGCAUGAAAGGAGAGUUAAGAAAUGUGGAAGGUAGAAGCAUAAAUAUUUUUCUAAUGGAAAUUCCAGAAGGGGAAAAAAAGAACAUGUGAAAGAAUUAUUGCUGAGAAUUUCCCAGAAUUGAAGACAUACUUUAGAAUGAAAAAGGCCAACUCUAACUUUGGGAUUUCUAGCUUCAGAGAAAUGAAAAUUUAGAAUGACCAAGGGGAGUGCACAGGAUUUUUUGGGCAGUGAAACUAUUCUGCAUGAUACUAUAAUGGUGGAUGCAUGCUAUUACACAUUUGUCAAAACCCAUUGAAUGUACAUCACUGAGAAUGAAGCCUAAUGUAUGCACUUUGGAUGAUUAUGAUGUGUCAAUGUAGGUUCAUCAGUUCUAACAAGUAGAACAUGCUGGUGCAGGAUGUUGAUAGGGAGGCUGUGCAUAUAUGGGGGAGGGGAUGAAAGGAACUGUGUACUUUCUGCUCGUUUUUGCUGUGCACCUAAAAUUGUUCUGAAAAAAAUCAAGUCUAUUAAGAAAACAAAGACAGUUUUUUAAAGCAUAAGAGCAUACUUGUUAUAAAAAUACAUGUAAUGCAGUGUAAUUUUAGAAUUCAAGGUCACAUAUUUCUGUAACACUUUUAUUCUUUCAUGCCUACAACUUUCAUGGAAUGGUCCAGUCAAAUAGGUUCCACAUAAUAGGAACCUUCAGUAAUACACCACUCACAUGUAGCAGAAGGACUUUAAAACAGUAUAUUCCCAACUCUUCUAUUCAUUGUGCCAAUGUUGCCAUAUAUUUCACUUUUACAAAUGCUGUAAACAUACAAUACUUGUGCUAUUUUUGCUUUCGAUAGUUGCCUUUUACAGCAGUUAAAAAAAAAAAAAAAGCCAGUUGCAGUGACUCACGCCUGUAAUUCCAACACUUUGUGAGGCUGAGGCAGGAGAAUUGCUUGAGCUCAGGAGUUCAAGACCAGACUGGGAAACAUAGUGAGACCUUGUCUCUACAAAAAAUAAAAUGCCAGGCAUGGUGGCACUCAUCUAUAGUCCCAAUACUCGAGAGCUGAGGUGGGAGGAUUGAGCCUGUGAGAUAGACUAGGCUGCAGUGAGCCAAGAUCAUACCACUGCACUCCAGCCUGAGCAACAGAGUUGAGUGCUCUGCCAGUCCACACCAGCCUUCGUGAAUUCCGCAAUUCUUCUAGCUAAACAUAUACCAGUAUCUGGUUGUGUCUGUCCCAAGUAAGCUAGUGCCCUUCUCUUCCUGCAGGCAUCUGUUGCUUCUUAGAUUUUGGACCAGUUUUUUGUCCUGGGAACUCAACUCUUCGAUAAAUUCAAAAAUACUCUGUAAUUUGAAGGAAGUUUACCUUUUUUUUCAUUGUAAGGGUGGAAGAAAUGUCUCUUCUGGAUGUUUAUAUCCAAAACAAGCUGGAAAUCAGCCCUGGCUAACUUUUUUUUUUUUUUUGAGACGGAAUCUCACCCUGUCGCCCAGGCUGGAGUGCAGUGGCACAGUCUCGACUCACUGCAACCUCUACCUCCCAGGUUUAAGCGAUUCUCCCACCUCAGCCUCCCGGGUAGCUGGGACUACAGGCGUGCGCCACCACGCCCAGCUAUUCUUUUGUAUUUUUAGUAGAGAUGGGUUUUCACCAGGAUGGUCUCAAUCUCUUGACCUUGUGAUCUGCCUGCAUUGGCCUCCCAAAAUGCUGGGAUUACAGGCUUGAGCCACCAUGCCCAGCCAGAGCAUCUAAUAUUUACUGAGUACUGAACAUUUACUAAAUACUUGACAUAAUGUUUUUUAAAUCCCCCAAAAGUCAUAUUCUUACAUCAUAAAUAAGGAAAAUUUCAGAUUGAAAGGAUUCAAAGAGGGUUAAACGAGAUCACAAAAAAAAGCCACAGCUGGGUACAUUACUGUGAAAUUAAACAUCAUCAGAGAGAAACAAUAGAUAUAGAUCUUUUCAGCUUAUCUAUUUCUUACUAAAAAAGAGUAAGUUUUGUAGUUUAUGCCUUUCAGAGAAUUUCUCUAUUUUGUCUCCAUUGUCAAAUUUAUUGUCAUAAAAUUGUUCAUAAUUUUUUUUUUGAGAUGGAGUCUGGCUCCGUCGCCCAGGCUGGAGUGCAGUGGCAUGAUCUCAGCUUGCUACACAACCUCCACCUCCCAGGUUCAAGGAAUUCUUGUGCCUCAGCCUCCGGAGUAGCUGGGAUUACAGGCGCCUGCCACCACACCUGGCUAAUUUUUGUAUUUUUAGUAGAGACAGAGUUUCAC
rnacentral:lncRNA from 1 species